UGGAAGUAAAAAGUCGUAACAAGGUCUCCGUUGGUGAACCAGCGGAGGGAUCAUUACCGAGUUUACAACUCCCAAACCCAAUGUGAACGUUACCAAACUGUUGCCUCGGCGGGAUCUCUGCCCCGGGUGCGUCGCAGCCCCGGACCAAGGCGCCCGCCGGAGGACCAACCAAAACUCUUUUGUAUACCCCCUCGCGGGUUUUUUAUAUCUGAGCCAUCUCGGCGCCUCUCGUAGGCGUUUCGAAAAUGAAUCAAAACUUUCAACAACGGAUCUCUUGGUUCUGGCAUCGAUGAAGAACGCAGCGAAAUGCGAUAAGUAAUGUGAAUUGCAGAAUUCAGUGAAUCAUCGAAUCUUUGAACGCACAUUGCGCCCGCCAGUAUUCUGGCGGGCAUGCCUGUCCGAGCGUCAUUUCAACCCUCGAACCCCUCCGGGGGGUCGGCGUUGGGGAUCGGCCCUUUACGGGGCCGGCCCCGAAAUACAGUGGCGGUCUCGCCGCAGCCUCUCCUGCGCAGUAGUUUGCACACUCGCAUCGGGAGCGCGGCGCGUCCAUUGCCGUAAAACACCCAACUUCUGAAAUGUGACCU
rnacentral:rRNA from 1 species